ensembl:lncRNA
UGACAAACACACAACUGUUAGCCUUCAGAUGAGGGGUGCAAAAACAGGACAGAAAAUAGAGUAUUACUUCUAAAUUAUUAUGUUUUUUGAUGUAAAAACCUUGAUAGUAUUACAAAUGCACUUUAGAGAACGGUACAAAGUAAAAAAACUAAGGCCGUUCAUGACCCCUUUAAGGGUCUUUCACACCAAGAACGAUAACUGUAAAGUUUUAAUAAUCAUUCUAAUUGUAGGGGGCGGGAGGCUUCAGAUUCUAGAGAGCAUUUGAUUGGACAGAAGCUGAAGUGCAUGAUGAUGUCAUGUUUUCGAGCACACUACUUAAUAGAUAAACUUAUGGCUAACAUAUUCAUACUAAAAAACAUUGAUUUUGUGGGGACUGUAAAGAGUCAGACAAUAAAACUGCAGCCCACGCUUAUAAUAAACACAACGUUUUAGUGUACUGAUGUGGACGAUAGUUAUCAUUAUCUUUAUAGAUAUUGUUCUUAGUGCGAACGAGCCUUAACAUGCUAUUGGCCUGCGAUAAAAUGACAUAUCUGUGGAAGUUCACCACAUUAGUUAGAGAGAAAAAAAAAUAAUUUGUGAAAUAGGAAUUAUAAUGGAAUGAGAAUAAUCAAUAAUACUCAAUUCUUUGUGAAAAUAAGAGCAGGGGAAUGUAACUGAUGAAUUGAGAAACACAUUUACUUUCACAUAAUAAAUUGAACCCUGUCAGAAGCAUUUUUAUGUAAUCAAAAUUUAGACAAUCACAUCAUCAUACUAAUGCAUCGCCUGGCAAAUAUGAAAUUUAAAUAAUUUCACUUCAUAUUUGAUAAUGUGUCCACAUGCUCAGAAUAGAUAAAUAUAUAAAACAAAUUAACAGAACAACAUAAACAACCACUAAAAAAGCACCUUACUGUAGCUUUCACAGUACCUGGACAUCAUGGCAGCACAUUAUGUACAGGGCGGCUCAUGGAGAAGGUUUACGGCUUUGGGCGACAUUCAUCAGAUCCAAAUAUUCAGGUGCAUCUUUGAAAUGGUAAAGAGGCUGUUUAUAGAUCAACACAUCUGAAAGACGCUGGCGGGAGAAAAGAGAAACACACAGGAAGAGAGUGGGAAGAGAGAGACAGGACACAGAUGAGGGAAGAACACAGAAAAGAUCGUGACAGUACCUGCAGACACUCUGACCAGAGCCAGAGGAGACGAAGAAGUGAAAACACACUUUACAUCGC